rnacentral:rRNA from 1 species
AUUGAACGCUGGCGGCAUGCCUUACACAUGCAAGUCGAACGGCAGCACGGGAGCAAUCCUGGUGGCGAGUGGCGAACGGGUGAGUAAUAUAUCGGAACGUGCCCGGUCGUGGGGGAUAACGUAGCGAAAGCUACGCUAAUACCGCAUACGUCCUACGGGAGAAAGCAGGGGACCUUCGGGCCUUGCGCUAUCAGAUGAGCCUAGGUCGGAUUAGCUAGUAGGUGAGGUAAUGGCUCACCUAGGCGACGAUCCGUAACUGGUCUGAGAGGAUGAUCAGUCACACUGGAACUGAGACACGGUCCAGACUCCUACGGGAGGCAGCAGU